UAGGGAAUCUUCCGCAAUGGACGCAAGUCUGACGGAGCAACGCCGCGUGAGUGAAGAAGGAUUUCGGUUCGUAAAACUCUGUUGUUAGAGAAGAACAGCGCAUAGAGUAACUGUUAUGCGUGUGACGGUAUCUAACCAGAAAGCCACGGCUAACUACGUGCCAGCAGCUGCGGUAAUACGUAGGUGGCAAGCGUUGUCCGGAUUUAUUGGGCGUAAAGCGAGCGCAGGCGGUCAAUUAAGUCUGAUGUGAAAGCCUCCGGCUCAACCGGGGAGGGUCAUUGGAAACUGGUUAACUUGAGUGCAGAAGAGGAGAGUGGAAUUCCAUGUGUAGCGGUGAAAUGCGUAGAUAUCUGGAGGAACACCAGUAGCGAAGGCGACUCUCUGGUCUGUAACUGACACUGAGGCUCGAAAGCGUGGGUAGCAAACAGG
rnacentral:rRNA from 1 species